rnacentral:rRNA from 1 species
AUUGAACGCUGGCGGCAGGCCUAACACAUGCAAGUCGAACGAGUGGCGGACGGGUGAGUAAUGUCUGGGAAACUGCCUGAUGGAGGGGGAUAACUACUGGAAACGGUAGCUAAUACCGGAUACCGCAAGAUCGGCCCGCGUCUGGUUAGCUAGUUGGUAGGGUAAUGGCCUACCAAGGCGACGAUCAGUAGCUGGGCUGUGAGGAUGAUCAGCCACCUUGGGACUGAGAAACGGCCCAAAAUCCUACGGGAGGCAGCAGUGGGGAAUAUUGGACAAUGGAGGAAACCCUGAUCCAGCCAUGCGGGGGAGUGAUGAAGGCCCUAGGGUUGUAAAGCUCUUUUGUGCGGGAAGCGGUACCGCAAGAAUAAGCCCCGGCUAACUUCGUGCCAGCAGCCGCGGUAAUAC